UGGCGGCAGGCCUAACACAUGCAAGUCGAGCGGUAGAGAGAAGCUUGCUUCUCUUGAGAGCGGCGGACGGGUGAGUAAUGCCUAGGAAUCUGCCUGGUAGUGGGGGAUAACGUUCGGAAACGGACGCUAAUACCGCAUACGUCCUACGGGAGAAAGCAGGGGACCUUCGGGCCUUGCGCUAUCAGAUGAGCCUAGGUCGGAUUAGCUAGUUGGUGAGGUAAUGGCUCACCAAGGCGACGAUCCGUAACUGGUCUGAGAGGAUGAUCAGUCACACUGGAACUGAGACACGGUCCAGACUCCUACGGGAGGCAGCAGUGGGGAAUAUUGGACAAUGGGCGAAAGCCUGAUCCGGCCAUGCCGCGUGUGUGAAGAAGGUCUUCGGAUUGUAAAGCACUUUAAGUUGGGAGGAAGGGUUGUAGAUUAAUACUCUGCAAUUUUGACGUUACCGACAGAAUAAGCACCGGCUAACUCUGUGCCAGCAGCCGCGGUAAUACAGAGGGUGCAAGCGUUAAUCGGAAUUACUGGGCGUAAAGCGCGCGUGGGUGGUUUGUUAAGUUGGAUGUGAAAUCCCCGGGCUCAACCUGGGAACUGCAUUCAAAACUGACUGACUAGAGUAUGGUAGAGGGUGGUGGAAUUUCCUGUGUAGCGGUGAAAUGCGUAGAUAUAGGAAGGAACACCAGUGGCGAAGGCGACCACCUGGACUAAUACUGACACUGAGGUGCGAAAGCGUG
rnacentral:rRNA from 1 species